CCUACGGGCGGCAGCAGUGGGGAAUAUUGGGCAAUGGGCGAAAGCCUGACCCAGCAACGCCGCGUGAAGGAAGAAGGCUUUCGGGUUGUAAACUUCUUUUGACAGGGAAGAGCAGAAGACGGUACCUGUCGAAUAAGCCACGGCCAACUACGUGCCAGCAGCCGCGGUAAUACGUAGGGGGCAAGCGUUGUCCGGAUUUACUGGGUGGCAGGGGCGGGUAGCCGGGCGGACAAGUCAGAUGUGAACUCCGGGGGCUCAACCCCCGAACUGCAUUUGAAACUGUGGGUCUUUGGUAUCGGAGAGCCCGGCGUCAUUCCUCGUGUAGCGGUGAAAUGCGUCGAUAUUAGGAGGAAC
rnacentral:rRNA from 1 species